rnacentral:rRNA from 1 species
GGGUUGUGAGGUUAAGCGACUAAGCGUACACGGUGGAUGCCCUGGCAGUCAGAGGCGAUGAAGGACGUGCUAAUCUGCGAUAAGCGCCGGUAAGGUGAUAUGAACCGUUAUAACCGGCGAUUUCCGAAUGGGGAAACCCAGUGUGAUUCGUCACACUAUCAUUAACUGAAUCCAUAGGUUAAUGAGGCGAACCGGGGGAACUGAAACAUCUAAGUACCCCGAGGAAAAGAAAUCAACCGAGAUUCCCCCAGUAGGGGCGAGCGAACGGGGAGGAGCCCAGAGCCUGAAUCAGCAUGUGUGUUAGUGGAAGCGUCUGGAAAGGCGCGCGAUACAGGGUGACAGCCCCGUACACAAAAGCGCAUGUGCUGUGAGCUCGAUGAGUAGGGCGGGACACGUGGUAUCCUGUCUGAAUAUGGGGGGACCAUCCUCCAAGGCUAAAUACUCCUGACUGACCGAUAGUGAACCAGUACCGUGAGGGAAAGGCGAAAAGAACCCCGGCGAGGGGAGUGAAAAAGAACCUGAAACCGUGUACGUACAAGCAGUGGGAGCACCCUUUGGGGUGUGACUGCGUACCUUUUGUAUAAUGGGUCAGCGACUUAUAUUCUGUAGCAAGGUUAACCGUAUAGGGGAGCCGGAGGGAAACCGAGUCUUAAUUGGGCGUUAAGUUGCAGGGUAUAGACCCGAAACCCGGUGAUCUAGCCAUGGGCAGGUUGAAGGUUGGGUAACACUAACUGGAGGACCGAACCGACUAAUGUUGAAAAAUUAGCGGAUGACCUGUGGCUGGGGGUGAAAGGCCAAUCAAACCGGGAGAUAGCUGGUUCUCCCCGAAAGCUAUUUAGGUAGCGCCUCGUGAAUUCAUCUCCGGGGGUAGAGCACUGUUUCGGCUAGGGGGCCAUCCCGGCUUACCAACCCGAUGCAAACUGCGAAUACCGGAGAAUGUUAUCACGGGAGACACACGGCGGGUGCUAACGUCCGUCGUGAAGAGGGAAACAACCCAGACCGCCAGCUAAGGUCCCAAAGUCAUGGUUAAGUGGGAAACGAUGUGGGAAGGCCCAGACAGCCAGGAUGUUGGCUUAGAAGCAGCCAUCAUUUAAAGAAAGCGUAAUAGCUCACUGGUCGAGUCGGCCUGCGCGGAAGAUGUAACGGGGCUAAACCAUGCACCGAAGCUGCGGCAGCGACGCUUAUGCGUUGUUGGGUAGGGGAGCGUUCUGUAAGCCUGUGAAGGUGGCCUGUGAGGGUUGCUGGAGGUAUCAGAAGUGCGAAUGCUGACAUAAGUAACGAUAAAGCGGGUGAAAAGCCCGCUCGCCGGAAGACCAAGGGUUCCUGUCCAACGUUAAUCGGGGCAGGGUGAGUCGACCCCUAAGGCGAGGCCGAAAGGCGUAGUCGAUGGGAAACGGGUUAAUAUUCCCGUACUUGGUGUUACUGCGAAGGGGGGACGGAGAAGGCUAUGUUGGCCGGGCGACGGUUGUCCCGGUUUAAGCGUGUAGGCUGGUUUUCCAGGCAAAUCCGGAAAAUCAAGGCUGAGGCGUGAUGACGAGGCACUACGGUGCUGAAGCAACAAAUGCCCUGCUUCCAGGAAAAGCCUCUAAGCAUCAGGUAACAUCAAAUCGUACCCCAAACCGACACAGGUGGUCAGGUAGAGAAUACCAAGGCGCUUGAGAGAACUCGGGUGAAGGAACUAGGCAAAAUGGUGCCGUAACUUCGGGAGAAGGCACGCUGACACGUAGGUGAAGUGAUUUACUCAUGGAGCUGAAGUCAGUCGAAGAUACCAGCUGGCUGCAACUGUUUAUUAAAAACACAGCACUGUGCAAACACGAAAGUGGACGUAUACGGUGUGACGCCUGCCCGGUGCCGGAAGGUUAAUUGAUGGGGUCAGCGCAAGCGAAGCUCCUGAUCGAAGCCCCGGUAAACGGCGGCCGUAACUAUAACGGUCCUAAGGUAGCGAAAUUCCUUGUCGGGUAAGUUCCGACCUGCACGAAUGGCGUAAUGAUGGCCAGGCUGUCUCCACCCGAGACUCAGUGAAAUUGAACUCGCUGUGAAGAUGCAGUGUACCCGCGGCAAGACGGAAAGACCCCGUGAACCUUUACUAUAGCUUGACACUGAACAUUGAGCCUUGAUGUGUAGGAUAGGUGGGAGGCUUUGAAGUGUGGACGCCAGUCUGCAUGGAGCCGACCUUGAAAUACCACCCUUUAAUGUUUGAUGUUCUAACGUGGACCCGUUACCCGGGUUGCGGACAGUGUCUGGUGGGUAGUUUGACUGGGGCGGUCUCCUCCUAAAGAGUAACGGAGGAGCACGAAGGUUGGCUAAUCCUGGUCGGACAUCAGGAGGUUAGUGCAAUGGCAUAAGCCAGCUUGACUGCGAGCGUGACGGCGCGAGCAGGUGCGAAAGCAGGUCAUAGUGAUCCGGUGGUUCUGAAUGGAAGGGCCAUCGCUCAACGGAUAAAAGGUACUCCGGGGAUAACAGGCUGAUACCGCCCAAGAGUUCAUAUCGACGGCGGUGUUUGGCACCUCGAUGUCGGCUCAUCACAUCCUGGGGCUGAAGUAGGUCCCAAGGGUAUGGCUGUUCGCCAUUUAAAGUGGUACGCGAGCUGGGUUUAGAACGUCGUGAGACAGUUCGGUCCCUAUCUGCCGUGGGCGCUGGAGAACUGAGGGGGGCUGCUCCUAGUACGAGAGGACCGGAGUGGACGCAUCACUGGUGUUCGGGUUGUCAUGCCAAUGGCACUGCCCGGUAGCUAAAUGCGGAAGAGAUAAGUGCUGAAAGCAUCUAAGCACGAAACUUGCCCCGAGAUGAGUUCUCCCUGAGACUUUAAGUCUCCUGAAGGAACGUUGAAGACGACGACGUUGAUAGGCCGGGUGUGUAAGCGCAGCGAUGCGUUGAGCUAACCGGUACUAAUGAACCGUGAGGCUUAACCUUACAACGCCGAAG